rnacentral:rRNA from 1 species
GGCUGCAACUCGCCUACAUGAAGUUGGAAUCGCUAGUAAUCGCGAAUCAGAAUGUCGCGGUGAAUACGUUCCCGGGUCUUGUACACACCGCCCGUCACACCACGAGAGUUUACAACACCCGAAGUCAGUGGCCUAACCGUAAGGAGGGAGCUGCCUAAGGUGGGGUAGAUGAUUGGGGUGAAGUCGUAACAAGGUAGC